GCCUCGCCUCACACCAUGGACAGCGCAGCCCGCGCGCCGCCUGAGGGAACGCGGCCUCCGGGAGGGCCCCUCGGGCCUGACAGAACCAGCAACCCCCGCAGGACCGCCGGGCCGGGCCGGGCGGUACCGGAGCCGGGGUAAGCCACAGGCCGGGUUCGACACAAGGGAGGGAGACUUCGAGUGAGGCGAGGGCUGUUCCGAGCGCCUCGUCGGGGUCAGGCGCUGCGAAAUCCCUCAUGAACUUCAGGAGGUUGAUGAGGAAGUUUCGUGAGGUGAGGUGAGGGGGGACGGGUCUGACUUGGACACCGCUGCUCUCGGAAAUCCAAAUUCAUCACACUUUGGCUCAAACUGCGGGAGGCGAGUACCCAGAGGCGGAUGUGUGUCACGUUUCUGAUGAGCUUUGUGCUCGUAUACCCUACAAGUGUGUUCCAGACCUGUCCCAUCUGGGCCAUGACAGGGCUCCGCAUGGGAUUCUUCCUCUGGAUCAAGACAGAAGUGCUCAAGAUCUCUUCGACAGACGAAGCUCAGUUCUAUACCACGGAUCCACCCAGUACUGCCAUAUGCCUUCUUUGCAAGAGCAAGCAGAAUGGAAACUGGACUAGAAACAAGAGCUCUCCAAACACAUCGCAGGCAGGACUUGACAUUCACCACAUAGUAUCACAACAGAAGUCUUGGAGACAAAGCUGAAGCAGAAUAAAGAAGCAGCUUUUCAGAUGUCAGAGAACUCUUCCCAUAUGUGAAAAACCAACAUAGGAGGGAAGAUGAUGCUGACUUCAGAAUGUAACUGAUGGACUGUGAGGGACCUGACCCAUCUC